rnacentral:piRNA from 1 species
UCUCACUCGGUCUAGUUCCACAUUUGAUGUC